rnacentral:rRNA from 1 species
UAAUUUAAAGUCUAGCCUGCCCAAUGAUAAUUUUAAUGGCCGCAGUAUUUUGACUGUGCAAAGGUAGCAUAAUCAUUAGUUUCUUAAUUAGAAACUGGAAUGAAAGGUUGAACGAAAAAAUAACUGUCUCUUUAUAAUUUUUUUAGAAUUUUAUUUUUAAGUUAAAAAGCUUAAAUAGAUUUGAAAGACGAGAAGACCCUAUAGAGUUUAAUAUUUUCUAAAUUAAAUUUUUAAAUAGAAUAAUUUUUAUUUAAUUGAAGAAAAUAUUUAAUUGGGGUGAUUGAAAAAUUUAAUUAACUUUUUUUAUAUUAAAACAUAAAUAUAUGAUUAAUUGAUCCAUUUUUAAUGAUUAAAAGAUUAAAUUACCUUAGGGAUAACAGCGUAAUUUUUUUUAAGAGUUCUUAUCGAUAAAAAAGUUUGCGACCUCGAUGUUGGAUUAAAAUUAAAAUUUGGUGUAGAAGCUAAAUUAUUAGGUCUGUUCGACCUUUAAAAUUUU